rnacentral:rRNA from 1 species
AAGACCUUGCGCUUUUGGAGCGGCCGAUGCCUGAUUAGCUUGUUGGUAAGGUAAAAGCUUACCAAGGCUUCGAUCAGUAGCUGGUCUGAGAGGACGGCCAGCCACACUGGGACUGAGACACGGCCCAGACUCCUACGGGAGGCAGCAGUGGGGAAUUUUGGACAAUGGGGGCAACCCUGAUCCAGCCAUGCCGCGUGAGUGAAGAAGGCCUUCGGGUUGUAAAGCUCUUUCAGCCGGAACGAAACGGUUACGGUUAAUACCCGUGAUCACUGACGGUACCGGAAGAAGAAGCACCGGCUAACUACGUGCCAGCAGCCGCGGUAAUACGUAGGGUGCGAGCGUUAAUCGGAAUUACUGGGCGUAAAGCGUGCGCAGGUGGUUUUGUAAGUCAGAUGUGAAAGCCCCGGGCUCAACCUGGGAACU